CAUUCAGUAAGCAUGUGGGUGAGCCAAGUCUUACAUUCAACCAGUCUAAACCAGUUUGUAGAACGGAUCUUUAUACAUGUGAGUGCCUUAUGUAAUGUAUCACUGCGCCUUGGUAAACAGAGGACAUCUUGUUCUGUUUUCUGAGUAUUGGUUUAUACAAAAUGUCUGCCAUCCUCACAUACUAUUGUCAUAACUUGGUAUUCGGAC